GAUGAACGCUAGCUACAGGCUUAACACAUGCAAGUCGAGGGGAAACGACAUUGGAAGCUUGCUCCUUUGGGCGUCGACCGGCGCACGGGUGAGUAACGCGUAUCCAACCUUCCCGCAAGUAAGGGAUAACCCGUAGAAAUGCGGCCUAAUACCUUAUGUUUUCCUUAGAGGGCAUCUGAUGAGGAACAAAGAUCCGUCGCUUGCGGAUGGGGAUGCGUCUGAUUAGUUAGUCGGCGGGGUAACGGCCCACCGAGACGACGAUCAGUAGGGGUUCUGAGAGGAAAGUCCCCCACAUUGGAACUGAGACACGGUCCAAACUCCUACGGGAGGCAGCAGUGAGGAAUAUUGGUCAAUGGGCGGAAGCCUGAACCAGCCAAGUAGCGUGCAGGACGACGGCCCUAUGGGUUGUAAACUGCUUUUAUGCGGGGAUAAAGUGGGCCACGCGUGGCCUUUUGCAGGUACCGCAUGAAUAAGGACCGGCUAAUUCCGUG
rnacentral:rRNA from 1 species